AGAUUUGAGCAUUAUUUCCAACCCAGAGAGCCGGAGACUGUGCUUCAUGCCUUUUUAAAGCCAGGAGUGGUGGUUUAUUUCACAGCCACGUUUCCGUACCUGAUGCUUGUCAUUUUGCUGAUCAGAGGUGUCACCCUUCCCGGAGCCUACCAGGGCAUCAUCUACUACUUGAAGCCAGAUUUGUUCCGCCUCAAGGACCCUCAGGUGUGGAUGGAUGCGGGCACACAGAUCUUCUUCUCCUUUGCCAUCUGCCAGGGGUGCCUGACAGCCCUGGGCAGCUACAACAAGUACCACAACAACUGCUACAAGGACUGCAUCGCCCUCUGCUUCCUGAACAGUGCCACCAGCUUUGUGGCUGGGUUUGUUGUCUUCUCCAUCCUGGGCUUCAUGUCCCAAGAGCAAGGGGUGCCCAUUUCUGAAGUGGCCGAGUCAGGUCCUGGGCUGGCCUUCAUCGCCUUCCCCAAGGCUGUGACUAUGAUGCCCUUAUCCCAGCUGUGGUCCUGCCUGUUCUUUAUCAUGCUCAUAUUCCUAGGGCUGGACAGCCAGUUUGUCUGUGUGGAGUGCCUGGUGACAG
rnacentral:sRNA from 1 species